UGUCCUGCCAGCAGAACCAGCAGCAGUGCCAACCCCCACCCAAGUGUCCCUCACCCAAGUGUCCCCCAAAGAGCCCAGUACAGUGUCUGCCUCCAGCUUCCUCUGGCUGUGCCCCAAGCUCUGGGGGCUGUGGCCCUAGCUCCGAGGGCGGCUGCUUCCUGAACCACCACAGGCGCCACCACCGAUGCCGGCGCCAGAGGCCCAACUCCUGUGACAGGGGCAGUGGUCAGCAAGGCGGGGGCUCUGGCUGCGGCCAUGGCUCUGGAGGCUGCUGCUG
rnacentral:lncRNA from 1 species